rnacentral:rRNA from 1 species
AUUGAACGCUGGCGGCAUGCUUUACACAUGCAAGUCGAACGGUAACAGGUUAAGCUGACGAGUGGCGAACGGGUGAGUAAUGCAUCGGAACGUGCCCAGUAGUGGGGGACAACCAGUCGAAAGAUUGGCUAAUACCGCAUACGACCUAUGGGUGAAAGCGGGGGACCGUAAGGCCUCGCGCUAUUGGAGCGGCCGAUGUCUGAUUAGCUAGUUGGUGAGGUAAAAGCUCACCAAGGCGACGAUCAGUAGCUGGUCUGAGAGGACGACCAGCCACACUGGGACUGAGACACGGCCCAGACUCCUACGGGAGGCAGCAGUGGGGAAUUUUGGACAAUGGGCGCAAGCCUGAUUCAGCCAUGCCGCGUGCGGGAAGAAGGCCUUCGGGUUGUAAACCGCUUUUGGCAGGAACGAAACGGCGACUCUUAAUACGGGUCGUUAAUGACGGUACCUGCAGAAUAAGCACCGGCUAACUACGUGCCAGCAGCCGCCGUAACAC